rnacentral:rRNA from 1 species
UACGUAGGUGGCAAGCGUUGUCCGGAUUUACUGGGCGUAAAGGGCGUGCAGGCGGUCUGUUAAGUCUAGGGUGAAAGCUCCCGGCUCAACUGGGAGAGGUCCUUGGAUACUGGCGGACUUGAGGGAGGCAGAGGAAAGUGGAAUUCCCGGUGUAGUGGUGAUAUGCGUAGAUAUCGGGAGGAACACCAGUGGCGAAGGCGGCUUUCUGGGCCUUACCUGACGCUGAGACGCGAAAGCGUGGGGAGUGAACCGG